CCUACGGGAGGCAGCAGUGAGGAAUAUUGGUCAAUGGACGAGAGUCUGAACCAGCCAAGUAGCGUGAAGGAUGACUGCCCUACGGGUUGUAAACUUCUUUUAUAUGGGAAUAAAAUGUUCCACGUGUGCGUUUUUGUAUGUACCAUAUGAAUAAGGAUCGGCUAACUCCGUGCCAGCAGCCGCGGUAAUACGGAGGAUCUGAGCGUUAUCCGGAUUUAUUGGGUUUAAAGGGAGCGUAGGUGGGUUGUUAAGUCAGUUGUGAAAGUUUGCGGCUCAACCGUAAAAUUGCAGUUGAAACUGGCAGUCUUGAGUACAGUAGAGGUGGGCGGAAUUCGUGGUGUAGCGGUGAAAUGCUUAGAUAUCACGAAGAACUCCGAUUGCGAAGGCAGCUCACUAAACUGCAACUGACACUGAGGCUCGAAAGUGUGGGUAUCAAACAGGAUUAGAUACCCGAGUAGUC
rnacentral:rRNA from 1 species